AAAUUUGUUGUUAGAUAUUCAACAUUAGAGGUUCCAAUGUACAUUUACCUUACAAGAUGACAUUAUCGGACAGAAAAACUCUGCAUCCCACAAGACAUUUUACACAUCAUGCUGCCUCACAUGUGCCUGCUUAUGUGCCUCUGUGUUGCACUCCACGCGACCUCCACAUGUUGAUAUUAUAAACAAAUCUGACUUUAGUCCACUGCCACAAGCCUUCUAAUUCCAAUUGCGGUGAAUUAUGGCACAGCACCCCCACCCCCCCUUUGCGUGGCGCUUGGUAAACUCCCACUGAACCCAUCACGCAGACUGAGAGCGCACCUCUCGUCAUCAUUAGUGCUCUGCUGCCAAGAAGGCGCCGCCAUGGAAACAAGUGUGCCUUCAGAUAGAUGAAGGGAGUGACAUUGGUGUACUGUGUCAUUCAUUUGGACAGUACAUCAAGUCUAUGAUGUGUGUCUGUGCAGUACGUGUUGAGGUUGCCAUUGUACUGUUGCCCUUGGUCUGUUCCCUCCAGCGUUGCAAAAUGCUUAGCCUCGCAAAGUUCUGUAUUUCAAGAGCCAUAUUCUGUGUUCAUCAAAGUUAAAGUCGAGUAAAGUGCAGUUUGGCCGUGACUGAUAUUUUUCCAAAGUCAAAAUUGAGAGAGAUGAGAAAUGGAUGAAUUUACUUUACAGAAGGCUUUACUCAUUUUUAUUGAGCUCUGUAUAUUGCUUACUUUUUUUUUCUUAAAACGUGUUUCUGACUAUGUCUGCUGUUUCAAGCUAAGUGCCUCUAGUUCACGACAAAUGGAGAAUCACGGCCUCUGUAAGACAUCACUAAGAAUUGGAUGGCAGUCACAUAACUUGCGGCUACACAUAAAUGUGGGAUGGUUUAAUCACAAAAAAUAUCCAUAUUCAUUUAGUCAAGUGGAACAUUUAAGUUCCACUUGGCAUGAGUCAGAUUGUACUGCAGUGGGGCCUGAAAUGGACCCAACUAGUUUAUUCUUUCCCAACAAACCGCCUGCUUUAUGUGGUCAGAACCAAUUUGAUUGGUCAGUCAUUUAAUCAUAGUCAUCGUGUACAAAAUAUCCCCUCACACUAUGCGAUGAACUAGUUUGGGGAGCUACAUACGAAUCCGUCGUCAGGCAGCACAAGUAGGGAGGCUGUACGUACUGUUUUUUUACAUUUGAUUGUUGUAUGUUCCUGGUCUACUUGUGUACAAAUUUGGGUUACGCCGACACCAUAGGAACAGAACAGUGGAAUAACCAAAGACUCCAUGUAUUGUAUUUUAAUGCGAUGCACUUUGAAUAAGUCAGUCAGAGGCGUGAGGCAUCAUCCGUUCCAUCCACUGCCUUGUAACCCUGCUUGUGCAGGAUCCUUAAAUGACACGAGGACAGCCUGCUCACAACUGACUGCCUCUCAGUAUAUUGCACUGAAUGUCGCUGGUUGUGACUUUGGCAAACUGACUUUCACAGUCGGCAAAGUGUAGUGCUAAUCAAUGAAGACUUGUGGAUCAGUGAGGGCGCGCAGCACAUUGGCACUGGGGCGGUCUGACGAAACACAUUCCAUGGCUAUCGUCGGCGCCGCUCUUUUUAUAUUGGAGCCGUCAUUGAUGGAAAUUUUGGAUUUGCUGUGGCAGAAUAGGUGCUAGGGAUGAGCAAUUUCUGUUAUUUUGCCUCGUGAAACGAACGUCACUUGUCAAAUUGGAGAGAACGGACUACGUCACUCACCCAAUAGUGUCAUUCACGAUUCAACAUGUUCAGUUUUAAGUGCUAAAUAAGGACUUCUCAAGAUGUGGUCUGCAAAAUUAUUUGCAACACACUAUGUUGUGUCAUUUAAAAAAAAAAUGGGGGGGGGCAGAUCUACAGAUGUGUGGCAGUAAAACACACAAAACCAAAAUUUUCUCCCUCCCUUCGCCUUGAGCCAAUGACAAGCUCUGAUAUCAUAAAUCUGACAUCUUUGUAUGCGUACAGCAUUUCGAGCGCCGACAUGCUCUUUUUUAAUAUAAAUUUGGACAGGUGAGUCAAGUUCACCUUGGCAAAAUAUUUGGAAGCACGUAACUAAGCAACAUGUUUUCAACAUGUCGAUAAACCACUGCAGUUUGCAACAAGCUGUAUACAGUAAAUGGCACCAUGCUACAGAAUUGGAAAGCGGUUCACUCAUGUUGUCCGUUUCUUUACAGAAAUUAAAGUCCCUGGCGGCGAUUAAUAAAAACUUAAUUUGUUUCGGUUCCUUUAGCUUCAUUUCCUUUAAUUCACUUUCUAUUAAACAGGAAAUGGAUAAUUACCUUGAAACAUUCAGAAAAACAAAAAAUAAUGGCAUUUUCGGGUAUACAUGGCAGUGGUUUUUUUCCCCCCAGAAAAGAGAAAAUCGCUUCACUCGCUGACAAUUGUAGCUGUCACUUCAGUCUUCAACAGAGCUGCCAUUAUCUUAAAAAAAAUGACAAGAUGAAUGCCACAGCACAGGUAUGCAUAGUAGUUACAUGUAAUUGGCGUUAUGAUUAUG